AGGGUUUGAUCAUGGCUCAGAAUGAACGUUGGCGGCGUGGAUUAGGCAUGCAAGUCGAGCGCGAAUCCCCGCAAGGGGAGGAAAGCGGCGAAAGGGAGAGUAAUACGUAGGUACCUGCCCUCGGGACUGGGAUAGCUGCGGGAAACUGCAAUUAAUACCAGAUGACGUCUGAGGACCAAAGGUGUGAUUCCGCCAGGGGAUGGGCCUGCGUCCUAUCAGCUAGUUGGUGUGGUAAAAGCGCACCAAGGCUAAGACGGGUACGGGGUGUGAGAGCAUGCCCCCGCUCACUGGGACUGAGACACUGCCCAGACACCUACGGGUGGCUGCAGUCGAGAAUCUUCCGCAAUGGGCGCAAGCCUGACGGAGCGACGCCGCGUGUGGGAUGAAGGCCUUCGGGUUGUAAACCACUGUCAGUGGGGAGCAAAUGGCUAGGGGUUCUCCCCUAGUCUUGAGCGAUCCGCAGAGGAAGCACAGGCUAAUUCCGUGCCAGCAGCCGCGGUAAUACGGAAUGUGCAAACGUUAUUCGGAAUCACUGGGCUUAAAGAGUCCGUAGGCGGCAUGUUAGGUGAGGUGUGAAAUCCCACGGCCCAACCGUGGAAUUGCGCUUCAAACCGGCGUGCUCGAGGAAGAUAGAGGUGGGCGGAACUGAUGGUGGAGCGGUGAAACGCGUUGAUAUCAUCAGGAACACCGGAGGCGAAGGCGGCCCACUGGGUCUUUUCUGACGCUGAGGGACGAAAGCUAGGGGAGCGAACGGGAUUAGAUACCCCGGUAGUCCUAGCCUUAAACGAUGAGCACUAGACCGAAGAAUCUCCACGAUUUUUUGGUCGUAGCGAAAGUGUUAAGUGCUCCGCCUGGGGAGUAUGGUCG
rnacentral:rRNA from 1 species